rnacentral:rRNA from 1 species
AACGCUAGCGGCAAGCCUAACACAUGCAAGUCGAGCGGCAACAAGAAGAUUUUUCUUUGAUUGGCAAGCGGCGGACGGGUGAGUAAUGUCUGGGGAUCUACCUAAUGAAGAGGGAUAACUAUUGGAAACGAUAGCUAAUACCGCAUAAUGUCUUUUAUGACCAAAAUAGGGGACUUUUAAUUUAUUUAAAUUUAAAAGCCUUAUGUCGUUAGAUGAACCCAGAUGAGAUUAGCUAGUAGGUGAGGUAAUAGCUCACCUAGGCAACGAUCUCUAGCUGGUCUGAGAGGAUGAUCAGCCACACUGGAACUGAGAUACGGUCCAGACUCCUACGGGAGGCAGCAGUGGGGAAUAUUGCACAAUGGGGGAAACCCUGAUGCAGCUAUGCCGCGUGUGUGAAGAAGGCCUUCGGGUUGUAAAGCACUUUCAGCAAGGAAGAAAGUAAUAUUGUUAAUAUCAAUAUUAAUUGACGUUACUUGCAAAAGAAGCACCGGCUAACUCCGUGCCAGCAGCCGCGGUAAUACGGAGGGUGCAAGCGUUAAUCGGAAUUACUGGGCGUAAAGCGUAUAUAGGUGGUUUAUUAAGUCAGAUGUGAAAUACCUAGGCUUAACCUUGGAACUGCAUUUGAAACUGGUAAUCUAGAGUUACGUAGAGGGGGGUAGAAUUUCAGGUGUAGCGGUGAAAUGCGUAGAGAUCUGAAGGAAUACCAAUGGCGAAGGCAGCCCCCUGGACAAAUACUGACACUCAAAUACGAAAGCAUGGGGAGCAAACAGGAUUAGAUACCCUGGUAGUCCAUGCUGUAAACAAUGUCGAUUUGAAGGUUGUAACUUUAAGUUGUGACUUUCGAAGCUAACGCGUUAAAUCGACCGCCUGGGGAGUACGGCCGCAAGGUUAAAACUCAAAUGAAUUGACGGGGGCCCGCACAAGCGGUGGAGCAUGUGGUUUAAUUCGAUGCAACGCGAAAAACCUUACCUACUCUUGACAUCCAGAGUACUAAUAGAAAUAUUUAGGUGCCUUAGGGAACUCUGAGACAGGUGCUGCAUGGCUGUCGUCAGCUCGUGUUGUGAAAUGUUGGGUUAAGUCCCGCAACGAGCGCAACCCUUAUCCUUUGUUGCCAACGAUAUGGUCGGGAACUCAAAGGAGACUGCCAGUGAUAAACUGGAGGAAGGUGAGGAUGACGUCAAGUCAUCAUGGCCCUUACGAGUAGGGCUACACACGUGCUACAAUGGUGUAUACAAAGAGAAGCAAUCUUGUAAAAGUUAGCAAAUCUCAUAAAGUACAUCGUAGUCCGGAUUGGAGUCUGCAACUCGACUCCAUAAAGUCGGAAUCGCUAGUAAUCGUGGAUCAGAAUGCCACGGUGAAUACGUUCCCGGGCCUUGUACACACCGCCCGUCACACCAUGGAAGUGAGUUGUAAAAGAAGUAGGUAGCUUAACCUUAUUUGGAAGGCGCUUACCACUUUGUGAUUCAUGACUGGGGUGAAGUCGUAACAAGGUAACUGUAGGGGAACCUGCGGUUGGAUCACCUCCUUA